CGCCUGGGGAGUACGGCCGCAAGGUUAAAACUCAAAUGAAUUGACGGGGGCCCGCACAAGCGGUGGAGCAUGUGGUUUAAUUCGACGCAACGCGAAGAACCUUACCUGGCCUUGACAUCCAGAGAGCUUUCCAGAGAUGGAUUGGUGCCUUCGGGAACUCUGAGACAGGUGCUGCAUGGCCGUCGUCAGCUCGUGUCGUGAGAUGUUGGGUUAAGUCCCGUAACGAGCGCAACCCCUAUCCCUGGUUGCUAGCAGGUAAUGCUGAGAACUCCAGGGAGACUGCCGGUGACAAACCGGAGGAAGGUGGGGAUGACGUCAGGUCAUCAUGGCCCUUACGGCCAGGGCUACACACGUGCUACAAUGGCGCGUACAGAGGGCUGCCAACUCGCGAGAGUGAGCCAAUCCCUUAAAACGCGUCGUAGUCCGGAUCGGAGUCUGCAACUCGACUCCGUGAAGUCGGAAUCGCUAGUAAUCGCGAAUCAGAAUGUCGCGGUGAAUACGUUCCCGGGCCUUGUACACACCGCCCGUCACACCAUGGGAGUGGAUCGCACCAGAAGUAGUUAGUCUAACCUUCGGGAGGACGAUUACCACGGUGUGGUUCAUGACUGGGGUGAAGUCGUAACAAGGUAACCGUA
rnacentral:rRNA from 1 species